AUGAACGCUGGCGGCGUGCCUAAUACAUGCAAGUCGAGCGAACAGAUGAGGAGCUUGCUCCUCUGACGUUAGCGGCGGACGGGUGAGUAACACGUGGAUAACCUACCUAUAAGACUGGGAUAACUUCGGGAAACCGGAGCUAAUACCGGAUAAUAUAUUGAACCGCAUGGUUCAAUAGUGAAAGACGGUUUUGCUGUCACUUAUAGAUGGAUCCGCGCCGCAUUAGCUAGUUGGUUAGGUAACGGCUUACCAAGGCAACGAUGCGUAGCCGACCUGAGAGGGUGAUCGGCCACACUGGAACUGAGACACGGUCCAGACUCCUACGGGAGGCAGCAGUAGGGAAUCUUCCGCAAUGGGCGAAAGCCUGACGGAGCAACGCCGCGUGAGUGAUGAAGGUCUUCGGAUCGUAAAACUCUGUUAUUAGGGAAGAACAAAUGUGUAAGUAACUAUGCACGUCUUGACGGUACCUAAUCAGAAAGCCACGGCUAACUACGUG
rnacentral:rRNA from 1 species